rnacentral:misc_RNA from 1 species
UUUCCGUAGGUGAACCUGCGGAAGGAUCAUUAUUGUAUAACCGAGAUUCGAGGGCUGUCGCUGACCCGAAAGGUCGUGCACGCCCGAGUGCCCUCACACACAUCCAUCUCACCCCUAUGUGCACCACCGCGUGGGUCCCCCUUUGGCUUGUUCGGAGGGGGGCUUACGUUUUCACACAAACUUUGUAUGCAGUGUAGAAUGUAUUUUUUGUUUUUGCGAUCACGCAAUCAAUACAACUUUCAACAACGGAUCUCUUGGCUCUC